AGUGGAGCCUGCGGCUUAAUUUGACUCAACACGGGAAACCUCACCAGGCCCGGACACCGGAAGGAUUGACAGAUUGAGAGCUCUUUCUUGAUUCGGUGGGUGGUGGUGCAUGGCCGUUCUUAGUUGGUGGAGCGAUUUGUCUGGUUAAUUCCGAUAACGAACGAGACUCUAGCCUGCUAACUAGGCGUAUUUCGACAUCCCAAAGGCCCGCCGGUUCGGGGUUUCGGCCUCUUUCCGCGCGCGGUUUUUACUGUCGGCGUACAAACAAUUCUUCUUAGAGGGACAGGCGGCAUUUAGCCGCACGAGAUUGAGCAAUAACAGGUCUGUGAUGCCCUUAGAUGUUCUGGGCCG
rnacentral:rRNA from 1 species